rnacentral:rRNA from 1 species
UACGUAGGGUGCAAGCGUUGUCCGGAAUUAUUGGGCGUAAAGAGCUCGUAGGCGGUCUGUCGCGUCGGCUGUGAAAACCCGGGGCUCAACCCCGGGCCUGCAGUCGAUACGGGCAGACUAGAGUGCGGUAGGGGAGACUGGAAUUCCUGGUGUAGCGGUGAAAUGCGCAGAUAUCAGGAGGAACACCGGUGGCGAAGGCGGCAUUCUGGACCAUAACUGACACUGAGAGACGAAAGCCAGGGGAGCAAACGGG